AUACGAAGUCGGACCUGCCCAGUGAAUUUUAAACGGCCGCGGUACUCUGACCGUGCAAAGGUAGCAUAAUCAUUUGCCUUAUAAUUGAAGGCUGGAAUGAAUGGUUUGACAAGAAUACACCUGUCUCUUUAUAACUUUCUAGAAUUUUAUUUUUGGAUGAAAAAGUCCAGAUAUAAUUAAAAGACAAGAAGACCCUAUCGAGCUUUAGAAGAAUUAAUGGAUUAAUAAUAAUCAAUAGUGAUAAAAGAAGAACCAUUAAGUAUACUUUGGUUGGGGCAACCGAGGAGUAAACAAAGCCUCCUUUAAGCUUUAAGUCAUACCUGUAUUGAUCCAAAAUUAUUGAUCAAAGGAAUUAGUUACCGUAGGGAUAACAGCAUUAUCUUUUUUGAGAGCCCAUAUCGAAAAAAAGGUUUGUGACCUCGAUGUUGGACCAGAAUAUCCUAAAGAUGCAGAAGUCUUUAAGGGUUGGUCUGUUCGACCAUUAAAAU
rnacentral:rRNA from 1 species